UUAGGUGGUGUGUGUUAUGUAUAUCCUGGAGCUACUCAUACAAGAUUUGAACACUCAAUUGGGGUAUGUUAUAUUGCUAGUCAAUUAGUUGAUGCAUUAAACAAAAAUCAACAAAAUAUUAUAACCCCCAAUGAAAAGAAGUGUAUUCAAAUUGCUGCUCUGUGUCAUGAUCUAGGCCACGGACCUUACUCACAUCUUUACGAUGCUGCAGUAAAGAGACAUUUUAAAGAAG